UUUAUAUAAGUAUGUCCCUUCCAUCACUCUUGGAACUGUAAGCGUAUGUAGUGCAGUGUUCAUCUCUCAUCUUUUUUCUGAGUCAAAGUUUUCAUGGCAAAGAGAUCUCAUACUUCUUCUUCUACUACUACCACCAUGGUGAAACCCAAGUAACUCACCUCCACAAAGAAGCUCCAUUUAUAGAGGUGUCACAAGACAUCGUUGGACAGGUCGAUAUGAAGCUCAUUUGUGGGAUAAGAAUUGUUGGAAUCAAUCACAAAGCAAGAAAGGAAGACAAGUUCUGCUAGGUGGAUACACAUAAAGGAAGGAAGAAGAAGAAAAACGAAGAAAGAGAGGAAAGAGAGAGAGGGGAAUGGAAUAAUCUGAAGCAUGUCAAAUGAGAAAUGAGAGACGUAAGGUAAUCCGGGUAAAUGAAAGAACCACUAGAUAAUAGUGCAGUUUGAAAUGAAUCAAGAGAAAGCUGCUAGGGUUGUUUUCAUUGGUCAAAAAAAAUUUAUUUAGUAAAUUACAAUUAUUAUUUUCUAUUGAUUUUUUAUCAUACAACGAUUAAAAAUUAGCCAAUUAUU